rnacentral:rRNA from 1 species
UACGUAGGGUGCAAGCGUUAUCCGGAAUUAUUGGGCGUAAAGAGCUCGUAGGCGGUUUGUCGCGUUCUGCUGUGAAAACUGGAGGCUCAACCUCCAGCCUGCAGUGGGUACGGGCAGACUAGAGUGCGGUAGGGGGAGAUUGGAAUUCCUGGUGUAGCGGUGGAAUGCGCAGAUAUCAGGAGGAACACCGAUGGCGGAAGGCAGAUCUCUGGGCCGU